rnacentral:lncRNA from 1 species
UGUGCUUUCCCCCAUUAUCUCCCAGCCUUCUUUCCUUUUCGCCUCUACUCAAGGCUGUGUCCACAAUUAAGCUCUCAGGGGGAGGAGGCCUCCAGCUGCCUCAAGGAAGGGCAUUUCUCGCAGUGCAAAGUGCGGAAGAGGGGAGCCAUACCGACUGAAAUCUUAACCAGAGUCGGUUUGCAUAGAGGCUGCAAUGGAUAGAAUCUCAGAAGUGAGGCGGAAAGACAGGCCAGCCCUGCGAAAGAUGGAUUGGAGAGAGCUUCCCUCACUCAACUCUAGAGAUACUGGACUUAAGGAAAUGUCCCCAUAGAACGCUGAGCCUUUCACCUCCUCUUUGCUCGUCUCACGGCUUUGUUAGACACGAAACCAUCUUCUGGAAAAUGUCUUCCCUGACACCUCUCCUACUUUUCUGAGUUUGGGUUGCUUUCCUCCUAGCACUCACGGAGAUCCAGGCACAAAAUUGCCUUGUAUUCAAGUUCCAAGUACCAACCAGCCUUCCACGUGUUGUUGUUUCAAAGAUAACUCUAUUUGCAAAGCCUUUACGCUACUGUUCAGAGAUUUCCGGAGUGUGUGCAACUUCAGUGAGGACUGGAAAGUGGGCCAUUGCGCAGUUCAGCUCUCAGGCUCUUUGUAGGUCUUUUACCAGUGAAGCAUUCAAGAUGGCUGGUACUUCCUCGUUUUCUUCGACAGGUGACUAAUGAAGCCGUUCUCCACGUUGUACUGUAUGGACAUGCGGCCCCAAGUGACAACAUCGAUCCCACUACCUCUCACAUGCUAAGCGAGUACUCUACCACUUGAGCUCAUUCGUCACCUACCGCAAAACUUUCUGCCCUUUCCUUUAUUCAGGAGUAGAUGUGCGCGAUUACCACCAUUUCUUGCGUCUCGGAACAAAGGAAAUGUCUGGAUUAUUAAUGGGGAACCAGGACUCGACCUAAGGCGAGUCUACUCAAAAAUGGCCAAGGGCAAGGGCAUGAUGGCUAUUCCUCUGCGAGGGAGAGGGGAAAACGUAACCAGGAGAAAGUGGACACUGGAAAAGUCUGGUGCUGUAAGAUUUCACGUUCCAGAUUUUCAGGGAGAGAAGCGAGCACGUCCCAGCUGGGGAGCGCCCGCCCAGAGCGGCCUGCUAAUUUGGCACAGCUAUCCCAGGAUGACGAUCUUUCUUUUAAAAGAGGCGGGAUAAUCACUUGUUCCUUGCAGCUCUGGACUCCCGGGAAGAAGCGGCCACUCCCGGUCAGAUUCUGGGAGACCAGAGAAACCUGUUGUUUCCGUUGAGUUUCAAAUAGAGGACCUUCCAUGUGUUAGGCCAGCGUGGUAACUACUACACCAU